rnacentral:misc_RNA from 1 species
AAAACCUGGGGCAUUUCUUGUUAACACCGGUAGUUGCCAACUGUUAGAUGAUUGUGCUGUGAAACAACUUCUAAUAGAGGGAAGCAUUGCUGGCUGUGCUUUGGAUGGUGCUGAAGGGCCACAAUGGAUGGAAGCAUGGGUAAGGGAGAUGCCCAAUGUCCUGAUACUGCCGCGCAGCGCAGAUUAUAGUGAAGAAGUGUGGAUGGAAAUAAGGGAGAAAGCUAUUUCUAUGCUGCAGUCAUUCUUCUUGGAUGGUGUUGCUCCAAAGGAUUCAGUGUCCGAUGAAGAAGAGGAAAGCGAGAUAGGGUAUGACAAUGAAGUUCACCAAAUACAAGAUGUUGAAAGCACGCUGCAGGGUUCUCCUAGUCAGCAGGCCAUUGAAGAUGUUGCAGAGAGCUCUCAGAAAAGAUUAGCGAGUGUCUCGAGGGAAUCACCUAGUCAGCUUCAAGGCUCCAUGGUAUCUCAAAAUAGUUCUGGUAGAUCUGAAGUAAAGAGAAGUCGAUCAGGUAAAAAGGCUAAAAAGCGGCAUGGGCGCCAAAAAUCACGACACAAAGUGGAUGAACAUUUGGCAUUUGAAAAGGAGAGUACGUCACACCAUGAAGAUGGGGCAACAAUGAGCGGAACAGAUCAAGGUGUGAGUUCCAGUUCACGUUUUGCUUCUCCAGAAGAUUUAAGAGGUAGAAAGACAUCAAUUGAAUCAAUACAGGAAUCAUCAGUGGAGCAUCUAUCAAAAAAAGGCAUAAAUCUCAGCAGAAAAUCUUCAGAACUGCUGAAGGAUGGUUAUGUAAUAGCUUUACAUGCAAGACAUCAUCCCGCUUUGCAUGUCUCCAGACAAAGAGUUAAAGGGGGUGGUUGGUUCCUCGACACAAUGUCAGAUGUUACAAAAAGAGACCCAGCGGCACAGUUCCUUGUGGUUUUUAGGAGCAAGGAUACAAUUGGGUUGAGAUCAUUUACUGCUGGAGGGAAGUUACUGCAGAUAAAUAGGAGAAUGGAAUUUGUAUUUGCAAGUCACAGUUUUGAUGUUUGGGAGAGUUGGACAUUUGAAGGCACUAUGGAAGAAUGUCGACUAGUUAACUGUAGGAAUCCUCUGGCUGUUUUGGAUGUACGUGUUGAAGUACUUGCAGCUGUUGGAGAAGAUGGUAUCACUCGAUGGCUUGACUAAGCAGUUGCGCAUGAUUCUUUAACAUAUGCUGUGCUGAUGCAUUUGGAAUAUUUACUUUACCACAAGUAGUUUUGUAAAGCAUUGAGUCUCCCUCAAAGCAAGAGUUGUAAGUUUUUAAAUGUAACUUUCAUUAUUGCCUCCUGUCAGGGUUCUUUCUUUCCGUGACAAUGGCUUAUUGUAAUUUGAGGAUUCAGAAUAGGCUUGCCUUUUGUUUUGACUGUUGCUUUUUUUAAAUGGACGUUUGCAUGCU